rnacentral:rRNA from 1 species
GAUGAACGCUGGCGGCGUGCCUAAUACAUGCAAGUCGAGCGAACAGACGAGGAGCUUGCUCCUCUGACGUUAGCGGCGGACGGGUGAGUAACACGUGGAUAACCUACCUAUAAGACUGGGAUAACUUCGGGAAACCGGAGCUAAUACCGGAUAAUAUAUUGAACCGCAUGGUUCAAUAGUGAAAGACGGUUUUGCUGUCACUUAUAGAUGGAUCCGCGCCGCAUUAGCUAGUUGGUAAGGUAACGGCUUACCAAGGCAACGAUGCGUAGCCGACCUGAGAGGGUGAUCGGCCACACUGGAAGUGAGAAACGGUCCAGACUCCUACGGGAGGAAGCAGUAGGGAAUCUUCCGCAAUGGGCGAAAGCCUGACGGAGCAACGCCGCGUGAGUGAUGAAGGUCUUCGGAUCGUAAAACUCUGUUAUUAGGGAAGAACAAAUGUGUAAGUAACUAUGCACGUCUUGACGGUACCUAAUCAGAAAGCCACGGCUAACUACGUG